UUAUAGUUUUCCUAUAGAUUUUAGUGAAGAGCAUUUAACCUAUCUUCAACUUAGUUUGAUGUGAAUGAAGUUACGAGAAAUUUAAUCUCUUCGAGGGACACUAUAAGCAUCGAAAGACAUCGUUAUAUAUACAUAAUAGUUUCAAAGUAGUGAUUGUCGAGUAAAAUGGAAUAUUGUCAAGUGUUUCGAGUUUUUAAUUUUUUUUCUUUCUCUGUACUUUUACUUUUUUAAUUUUAAUUUAUUUAAAGAAACUAAACAUAUGUGCAAUGUGGUCAAAGAGGUUAAACGGUGGAAUUAGAAGAUAUUUGUACAGCUUUUCAUGGACAAGCAAAAGAUUUUAUAAAAAUUCAUUGAAAUUGUAAAACGGAUAAUAUUAAUAAAACGAUGGACGAUGAAUAGCAACUUUGGACACUUCACUCGGAAAAAUUCUCGCCGUCGUAGAAAUUGAUGGAAAAUUCGAACACGUUCUAUAUCGUUACGGGAAGAGGAGAGAUUUAUGGAACGCAUUCCUACGAGCGACUCACUCCCAAAAGCAAUAUUCCCUCGAAAUAUCGAGGUAAGGAGGGGUCGAAGGUCCGCAGCAAGAAACGAACGUCGCACGCUGCGUGUCGCUGGUCCGCGUGGCUUGUAAGAAAGAAGAGGAAGAAUGGGAAAAGACGAGCGGAGGGUGGCGAUCGAUAGCCAAACUCCUCGCUUCUACAGUAGAUAAGAAAACACGCGUUAUAUGCAUAGACUCUGGCUCGCUUUCGCGAUUCCUGAUACUGGAAACUGCCGCUUGCAACGAAUAGCUGAUAUCUGCACGAGAUAAGACGAAUUGCCUGGAAGCCGGUAGUAAAACGGAAAGAGGACAACCCUUUGACUAGUGGAACUGGUUGUUGUCGGAUGGGAAUCUCCUUUGGCCUUUGAGGUUGCUGGACAAGUUGGAUUCACAGGUGCUUAGAAGUGGAAAGGGAUGAAGAAGUGGUUAAGGGUUUUGAAGAUUGUUUUGUUUAUGUGGGGAGCUUUAAAAGUUGGUUCAAUUGGUUAGAAAUGGUUAUUGAUGGCCUUAAAGGUUACAUAUGAGAAUUUUCUUUGAAUUUUGAAG